AGAGUUUGAUCCUGGCUCAGAACGAACGUUGGCGGCGUGGAUUAGGCAUGCAAGUCGAACGAAUCUCUGGGGGCUUGCUCCCAGGGGAAAGUGGCGAAAGGGGCAGUAAGGCGUGGGUAACCUACCUCGGGGACGGGGAUAGCUUCCUAACGGAAAGGUAAUACCCGGCGAUGUUGCGAAGGCGCAUGUCUUUGCAAUGA
rnacentral:rRNA from 1 species